GUAUGAAAAGGGUGUCUUUUCCCUCUGCCUCACCCCUCUCAAUAGUACAAAUAAAACCCCCCACAAGAUUAAAGAAGAGAGUUAAAGCAAGAAUCCUCAUGACAAGGGGUGGCUACUCUGGCAUUUUCAAGUCUUGAGGUUGCUGUUUUCCAGGGGGUGAUGUGAUAUGACCCUAGCCAACAUGUAGAGCUGGUUUUGUGGACUGUGCCUGUGUGCUUGUGAGAAAGCAGAGCGACAGAGGGAGGCAGAGUUAGAGCUAGUUGCAGAAGGAAAGUGCAAUUUCUGAACAGGGGCAGACCUGCCUGACUUGGAUAUCAGCUUCUCCAUGAAAAUAUGCAGUGCCUAAAAUUUACACUGAUCGAUUUGUUCACGAGAAAGGACAUUUCUAAAAGAGCCAGGAGACUGCCCCCAGAACCAAGAGGAGUACUGGAGAGCAGAAGAUGAAGAAAAACCUUUAAACAGCAGAGCAGUGAAGUGGAGGGAGAGGCGGCCCCUCUCCUUUGCCAGAGACUCCCACUCCCAGAUGCAGGCUGGAGCGAUCCCUCAUAAUUUAAGCUGACACCCCUCAGCGGAGAUGAAAGGAACACCACUCGCUGCUCUCCAACAACAAAUGUCAGCAUCCCUGGAGGCCGUUUAGACACAAACGCAGCAUAAAUCUGACUCCUAGUGGGGAAGUCCAGAGAUUAAGUCUCCACACACAGCCUACCAGAGUGAAAUGAAUUUGCUUGGCACAAAGUUUGAACAUGUUUCUCAGGGCCU
rnacentral:lncRNA from 10 species